GUGGCAAAUUGCAUACACAGCUUCCAAAGUUGACACGUUAUGAACCUGGCAGGACCUAUCUCCCCCGUCGUUUCUGGUGACGAACAACUCAUGCGUCAAAAAGGAAAGUCGGGAACCGAAGAGCCAGGUUUUGUAAUCCGGGAAUGGGGGACAUGAAAACCCCAGAUUUUGACGACUUGUUGGCAGCCUUCGACAUUCCAGACAUCGAUGCCAAAGAGGCCAUCCAGUCUGCACCAGAAGAGGGUGGGGAGGGGUCAGGGAAGGUCGGGAGCAGCGUGUCGGGGGCCGGGGGUCCCUCGCCAAGACCUUCCAGCCCCACUGACUCCCCUCCCAACUCCCAAAGUGAGCCUCCAGUGGUCAGUGUGAUUGUUAAGAACAGGGUGAGGCCUGACUCUUAUGAAGAGACUGAGGGGUCAGAUGAAGAGGAUGGGGACAGCCCUGGGGGCAGUGGGACAGAACAUGAGGUGGAGACUGGGAUCGGAGUCAAGGGGGGCCUGCUGAGUUCACAACUGGCUCCUAGGAUGCCUGGUCUGGUCUCCUCAGAACCUCUCCUCCAGAAUGGGUUUGAGGGGUCCACAGUCACGCUGGAGCCCAGUGUGAGAGACCAGGGGCUGGGCCAGGCCAACGGGGAGCUCUGGUCAACCUGCUCCCCUCCCACUGCGAGUGAAGGAGGGGGCAGCAUUGGAGGCGCAGGGGGGUCGGCCUGCACAACCAAACAUACAGUUAAUAUUCACAACAGACGGAAACCUCUCUCCUCUCAUACCUCUGCUGGUCCUAUAACCUCCACAUCCUCCUCAUCAUCAUUGUCGUCCUCACUCUCUGUCAACCCACACCUCUCUCCUCCCUCCAUCCUGAGUGAGGACACUCUGUGCCCUCUCGGGCCUCUUUCCUCCCCCCCUCCCUCCAACGGAAGCCUGAGAGUGGGGGUGAGGCGCAUCAUGGACUCGGAUGAGGACGACUCUGAACCGGAUUUGGGAAGCCCGCUAGUGAUCCAAGAGAGCCCAGAUUCUCCCAUGUGCUCCCCUCCCAAAUUUCCACGCAGACACCGCCAAGUGUCCUCUUCAGAGCUGUUCAGCUCCCCAACUCCCUCCUCCCCUCCUCUCCUCUCUUGCCCUCCUCCUCUCUCCUCCAAACCCCCUCCCUCGAUCUCUCAGACAUCUUCCAGCUCUAAACCGCCCCCUCCAGAUGAAGUACCCUCCACCCCCAGGUCUCCCUCCCCUCCUCCUGCCCAGCCCCAGGCCCGUCAGUCCUGGCUGGCUGCCGCCCUCUGUAACCCCAGACCCAUCUCUAGCCCUGUGAUGGAGGAAAGAAACCCGGAACAUGUGAUCGAGGAGAGGGACUCACCAGAGAGCCCCCCGCCUGACCAGACAGGUUCUGCUAUGUCCACUGUGUCCAAGAGGAGCUCCAGCCCUGCACCAACCUCAGCAUCAACUCCACAGGGGGCUAGAGAGGGAGAGGAGCCCAUGGAGAGUGAGCCUAGCCUGGGGUGCAGGUCAGACAACAGUGAGAAGAUGGAGGUUGUGGAUGGAAGACAAACAGGAGACACAGAGACGGCUCCGGCCAAUUCUACGACAACACCAACAGCCCCCGUUCGCCCACUCAAAGUCCGAAUCAAAACAGUCAAGACCCCGACAGGCAGCAUCACCAGGACAGUGACACGAGUAGCAUCCAAAGGAGCAGGGGGGACCCCCUCAAAAGGCGCAGAUGGUUCCAAACCCUCCCCGGGGGGUCGUAAGGUCCUCAGCCGGCCCAAGAGGGUGGCAUCUCAGCAGCCUCCGCAGCAGAAGUCAAAGGGUGCCAGCCUCCUGCCUGUGUCUACACUCCAGGAUGCAAGUACUGCCAUGUUGAUGGCCGCCAACAAGGCCCAAAACAAGAUGGCCGCCGACAGCAACAAGCCCAAAGUGUCGGCUACGGCUGUCAGCAUCACCAAGUCAGCAGCCCUCCCCUCUGUCUCUUCCACCUCUUCCGCCUCCCCCAGAUUCAGUCCAGGGGGGGCCGGCGUGCGCAGCCUAGGUCAGAAGACCCUGAAUGGGGGUGUGUCUGUGUCCCCCUCCCCCCUCCUCACCCCUCAGGGGGGAAGUAGACCAGCCUCCAUAGUGAACAGUACAGGAGCCAUUAUCUCCAGGAGCCAGUCCAGUCUGGUGGAGGCCUUCAACAAGAUCCUCAACAGCAAGAACCUGCUGCCCAGCUACAGACCAGACCUCUGUACACCACUACCACCAGAGUGGGACCUGCCUCUGCCUGCACAGGGCUACCGCUGUCUGGAGUGUGGCGAUGCGUUUGCCCUGGAGCGCAGCCUGGCCCGCCACUAUGACCGGCGGUCCCUGAGGAUCGAGGUGACCUGUAACCACUGUGCCAAGCGGCUGGCAUUUUUCAACAAGUGCAGCCUGCUGCUCCACGCCAGGGAACACAAGGAGAGGGGACUGGUCAUGCAGUGUUCCCACCUGGUCAUGAGACCUGUCAGUGUAGAGCAGAUGAUAGGCCAACAGGACACCACUCCCAUCGGUGAGAGAGACUGCAUGCUCUCUCCCUCCCUCUCCACCUCCUCUGUCCCAGCGUCCUCUGCUCCGGCUGUGACUUCAGCAGUAACCCCGGCAACCCUGAGCCCCGCCCCGCAACUGCAGCAGCCAAUCAUCAGUAAGAAGGCGACAGAGCCGUUGCUGUACACCAAUAACAAGUGUCCUGAGUGUAAGGUGCAGUUCUGCAGCAAGGCUGAGGUGGCUGCCCACUUCCAAGAGGUCAAACCAGCCCUUAACACUUCCUGUACGGAGUGUUCUCCUCCCAUGCUCCUUCCUAACGGCUGCAGUGCCUCUGCUCACGCUCGCAUCCACAACCCCCGCCCCCCCCACGUCUGCCCAGAGUGUGGGGGUGUGGCCAAGCAGCCAGCCUUUCAAUCCCAUUUGGAGGAGGCCUGUCUCCAUUUCACACGACGCAUCGGAUACCGGUGUUCUAGUUGUCAGGUGGUGUUCGGAGGGUUAAACUCGGUCAAGUCCCAUAUCCAGACGGCCCACUGUGAGGUGUUCCAUAAGUGUCCCAGCUGCCCGAUGGCCUUCAAGUCCUCCCCCAGCGCCCAGAGCCACAUCAACACCCAGCACCCCACACUCACUGGAGGACAGGCCAAGAUGAUCUACAAGUGUGUGAUGUGUGACACGGUAUUUACCCAGAAGCCACUGCUGUACGUCCACUUUGACACCCACCUAGUCAAGCAGAAGGUGCACGUGUUCAAGUGUCCUGAGUGCCCCAAGCUCUACGCGCAGAGAAGUUCCAUGCUGGAGCACAUCAAGACUACUCACAGAGGCCCUGCGGUCAAACAGGAAGUUCCCGUUGCCAUGCCGCCCUCCCCCGCCCCUCCCCCCCGGGUGCGGAGCUUGGUGAAGACAGAGAGCUCUGACGGAGAGGAGUGGGGAAGGGAGGAAGAGGAGGAGGAAGAGAGGGAUGGAGAGAGCAGUAAGACAAGCCCAGGGUGGAGCUGUGCUCCCUGCCAUGCCCGCUACGCUGACAGAGAGGACUACAUUACCCAUAUGGCCGAGCAGCAUGGCAAGGUCAGGCCUACUCUACUGCCGGCCCACGGGCCCAGUCCUGCCCAAAAUUAACCCCUAACUGGCCCUUAAAUGAAUCACCUAAUCAUCACAGGCCCAAUCCUCACUUGAGAAAAGUUAUGCUUAAUACGUCACUUACGUUCUUCCAUCAAAAUACGAUCAGAGUUUAUUUAUGCUCAACUUUGAGCUCCCCAGGUGUUUCUCAAGUUGGGAUUGGGCCCGAUCAUAUAGGUUAUAAAGUCAUAUCAUGUAUAUCUAAAGUUCUGGAGCACAGUCACCUCUCACAUGAAGUGGAGGGAUCCAGGAAAGUUUGCCCUCUUUUUUUUCUUUGAAGAACAGAUUUUCAGCCGUUUUUCCUCAAUCCUGAAGAAGUUCCCAUGUAGUCUGUGUGAGAACUCCUUCUCCUCCACGUCCAGCCUCAGACGCCACAUCAGAGUCAAACACAAGGGCAUCAAACGAGCCUUCCACUGCCGGUUGUGUGGUGAGGGUAAGAGGACGUUCAGCAGUAGACUGGUGUUGGAGAGACAUGUCCAGCUGAGACACAGCAUGUCAGCUCUGGACACAAAGCGAGGGAGGGGUGCAGAAGGGGCCGACAGUUCCUCGGAGCAGGACGGAGGCUCCAACCCUCCGUUCACUGUUUCAGCUGAGGAAGACGGAGGAGGAGGGUUGAAGACUGAGGAGGAAGAGGACGAUGUGACCGAGGGCAUCAUCCCUGCUAAGAGAUCUCGCGUCACCUCCUCGGCCCCCCCUCCCCAGCCAGAGUCUGGGUUCCACUGUACUCCGUGUGGCUUCACCACCGAGGACCGCGCCGUCUUCCUGGACCACAUCCCCCAGCACCGCUCCGAGGCCCUGGGGGGAGGAGUCAGCCUGCAGUGUCUACAGUGUGGAGCCUGCUUUGCCUCCGCCCCCUCCCUCUCCCGCCACCGCUUCAUCAGCCACAGGGUUCGAGACACACCCCCUGACAACCACAGCCGUCACGGCCAUAACGACUGCUCCCUGACACCAUCGCCCGGCAACGGCGGUAACCACAGUGACGGGAGUCCCAGAGGGGGUUCCCUGCCGGGGUCUCCCUCUUCCUCGUCUCACCCCCCCACACCGCUGGGGGAGGACGGGGAGGGCAGGGUGGGGUGUAAGGUGUGUGGGAAACGCUUUGAGAAGGUUUCGGAUCUGAACACACACUUCAGGACUCACGGCAUGGCCUUCAUCACCGCACGCAAGACAGACAAACCUGUCUAAGAGAGAGGGAGGGGAAGGUAGAGAAGGAGGAGGAGAGAGAGAGGGGAGAUGAUAUUUUGGAGGGAAGGAGGGUGAGAGAGUACUAUAAACUGCAGAUAUUUUAGUAAGAGAGAGGAGGUAUGGGAAGGAAAGCUCUUCACUGUAAACCGUUCUUCAGCAGUGUGUUCCUGUCAUCACUUAUCCAACACACAAGCACAUUGUGAUAACAGUUGUUGUUUUCAUUCAAUUCUUUCUUAUUUAAUUUUCUGUCACAUUUGUUAUAUGGCAGCCAUAACCUGUGUGUGUUUGUCUGACUGAUUCUGGACGCAGUACCUCAGGUGCUAUACCUGUCUAAACUGAGAUAGUAUUAAUAUCUUCUCACUGAGUUGUAAACAGUGGAGGCUGUUGAGAGGAGGACGGCUCAUAAUAAUGGCUGGAACGGAACACAUGGAAAGGCAUCAAACACAUGGUUUCCAUGUGUUUGAUGUAGUUAAUACCAUUCCACUGAUUCCACUCCAACCAUUACCACGAGCCCAUCCUCCCCAAUUAAGGUGCCACCAACCUCCUUUGGUUGUAAAUGAGUUAUGAGUUAUGAAACGGAUUAUUACAGGUUAUAUUACCAAAUAACACUUCCAUUCAGAAGUGUACUUUUUAAAAUGGAGACCGUUAACCACCAGUCAGUCUACAGCUGAGUUCUAUUAGGUUUCUGUUGUCUGUCAUCAACAGGGAAUGUGACUGGUGUUGGAAGAGACUAGUCAACAUGGGGGUGUGAUUUGCUUAUUGAUUUGAAUGUUUCUGUUUUCUAUGGUUCAUCCAAGCACAGAAUCUCACAGUGGAUUGGUGACAGCCACCACUGGUCUUUCUCUGUGUCGAGCCCGUCCCAGUUCUCAUUCUCACUAUUGCAUUGAUUUUCUUAUAGUUUUGUUCAUAGUAUUUGAUUUAAGGGUUUGUGUAUGUGCAGGUAUUUGUUUUUCAUUGUAAGCUCUGGAUUGGCUUUGUCUGUUGAAUGUUCUCCAUUCUCAUCCCCGUCCGUCUAGCCAUAUAGGAUGAUCAGGGAUGAGAUUGGCUCCACAGAGACGUCAGGCAGAGUAUUCCUGUUGAUCCGGCCUUGUAACAUCAGGAAUUCCAGAUGAAUCAGGAAACAUCCCAUCUCAAGAUGACCCUCUAUAACCUGGAGGGGUUGGGUUGGACCCUUCCAUUACUAAAGUGUGGUUGUACUUGACCACAACUGAACCAUAACCAUGUAAAUAUGAGUACUAGACAUCUAUCCUCUUUCUCUCUCUGAGAGGGAGGGAGAUAUGGAUGGAGUGAUAGUGAAACUCCUGGUGUUGGAGGAGAGGUGUGAGGGGUUGAGGACAGUGAUUGUAUGCUAAAGAAAAGCAUGUAAGGCGUGUUGAACUACAGUAAAACUCAAAGAUAUCUUUAAGUUAAAGAUUAGUCACCCAUCAGCGGUGUUAACUGUUCUCUUCUACUCUUUUGAUAAAGGUAUUGUGUGCGUGUCUCCAGCUAGAGUUUCUUCAGUCUUCAGAGAUUACAAUGUUAACACACAGCCCUCUUUCCCCCUGUAACCCAAUUCUAUGUUUUCUUUCUUGCGUAGAGCAUUUCUAAUAAAAUACCCAGAGAAAGUGAUUAUU